rnacentral:rRNA from 1 species
AUUGAACGCUGGCGGAAUGCUUUACACAUGAAGUCGAACGGCAGCACGGACUUCGGUCUGGUGGCGAGUGGCGAACGCGUGAGUAAUGUAUCGGAACGUGCCCAGUCGUGGGGGAUAACGUAGUGAAAAUUACGCUAAUACUGCAUACGAUCUAUGGAUGAAAGCGGGGGAUCGCAAGACCUCGCGCGAUUGGAGCGGCCGAUAUCAGAUUAGGUAGUUGGUGGGGUAAAGGCCCACCAAGCCAACGAUCUGUAGCUGGUCUGAGAGGACGACCAGCCACACUGGAACUGAGACACGGUCCAGACUCCUACGGGAGGCAGCAGUGGGGAAUUUUGGACAAUGGGCGAAAGCCUGAUCCAGCCAUUCCGCGUGCAGGAUGAAGGCCCUCGGGUUGUAAACUGCUUUUGUACAGAACGAAAAGGUUUCUACUAAUACUAGGAGCUCAUGACGGUACUGUAAGAAUAAGCACCGGCUAACUACGUGCCAGCCGCCGCCGUAA